rnacentral:rRNA from 1 species
AUACGGAGGAUCCGAGCGUUAUCCGGAUUUAUUGGGUUUAAAGGGUGCGCAGGCGGGAGAUUAAGUCGGCGGUGAAAUUUUGCAGCUCAACUGUAAAAGUGCCUUCGAAACUGGUUUCCUUGAGUGUAGAUGAAGGAGGCGGAAUUUGUGGUGUAGCGGGGAAAUGCAUAGAUAUCACGAGGAACUCCGAUUGCGCAGGCAGCUUACUAAACUACUACUGACGCUCAGGCACGAAGGCGUGGGGAUCAAACAGGAUUAGAUACCCUGGUAGUCCACGCAGUAAACGAUGAUUACUAGCUGUUUGCGAUACAAUGUAAGCGGCUGAGCGAAAGCGUUAAGUAAUCCACCUGGGGAGUACGUUCGCAAGAAUGAAACUCAAAGGAAUUGACGGGG